AGCUGUGUCACGGCUGUGACUUUGCAGAAGCUGCCUCCCAGCUGACUCCUACGUAGCCUAAAAGGCUGAGCUCAAGCUUCGCCUUCUCCAAGAAGAUUCCCGGACCCUCUGGCAGAUGAUCCCUUCUUUACAGAUGAAGAAACUGAGGCUCAGAGAGGUGAAGUCAUUACCUCCAAGUGAAAAGGAACACAGACGGUGGAGCAGGGAUUUGAACUGGGUCAUACGCUUCAAAGGGCAUCAAAGGGUUAUUAUGGGUGAGUGGAGGCUGGCCGCGUGGUCGCUGCACUGCGGGGACCCCUUUAGUGAAAACAGAGGCUCCAGGCCCCGCCCCGUGACUUCUCGCUGGAAUUUUAGGCUUCAUCACACGUUUAAUGCUUACUUUUAAAAAUCCUUAUAUUCGAUGUUUCUAAUAAAUAACAUUUAAUAUCUAUUCAUGAUAGUUCAAAAUAAACA